GGGAGGCGAGGCCUCUGGAGUCUGCGGGUCCCCUGUGCACAGCGGCCGCUGUACGGCAGGACAAGCCCUCAUCCCGCCCGCAUCUCCACCUGCGCACCUAGAGAAUCAUUAAAGCCAGUGCCAUGUGGCUGUGUUGUGGAACUGCAAAGAAAUGUCAAGCACAUGACUGCAGCUAGACAAUCCAAGGCAAGAUGAAUAUCAGAAGAUUUUGGCUUCCUGGAAAAAACUCACCAUGGACUUUGGUUAUUCAGAAUUAGCUACUUCUUCUGUAAGGCUAUCAGGUAAAAUAAAAUAGUAAUGAUAACAGUG